rnacentral:lncRNA from 1 species
ACUUAUAGAUAUUGGUGUGCCUAGCUGGAAUGCUUUUAAUAGUACAUAAAUAAUAUAUGCUAUCAAUUUUUUAACACUUGUUCGGCUUCGUUUGGUUCGGUGUUAAGUAAGAACUAAAUUUUGCGUUUGAAUGAAAAUUAAGUUGUCCCAGGAAUAAAAAAAAUAACGUUUAAAUUUGGAUAGAUAAGAUGGAAUAAGAAGAAUAAUGGAUAGUACGUUAUAAAUAGAAAAUAAUAAUAUUGUCUCUUAUAUUUAAAUUUAAAAUUUAAAAUUUUAUAUUUAAAAUUUAAAUUUAAUAUAGAACUUUAAAAAUUGAAAAAUUCAAAAUUUUUUAAAUUUCAAAUUCAAAUAUCAAAUUUUAAAUUUAAAAAUAUCAAAUAUCAUAAUUUAAAUUUAUAAAAUUAAAAAAAUAAUUUAAAAUUAUAAAUAUUAACUUUAAGAUUAUAAAUUUUUUAAAUUUAAAAAAUUUAAAAUUUUAAUUUUAAUUUAAAAAUUAAAU